UUUGCCGUGAGUCGUCGUCGUGCUCGGUGUUGUUGGUGUUCACAGAGCGAGGCUCGUUCCCGCACGCUCGAUGUCGCUCAUUUCCGCGGCUUAGUUCGAGGAAACGCCGCGCCGUGUUCGGCGGCGCCUUCGUACGGGCGAGUUGUGCGUUCGCUUCGUUCCUUCGUUCUUUAUUUUUUCCCUCGUUUCCCCUCGUUUCGUUCGCGUUGGUUUUGUUUCGUUCGACGAUCCCCGUGUCUCGGCCGGGCCCCUGCCGUUCUUCCGGAGCCCGGCGCAAAAGGUGAAAGUACGGAUCCCGCGUCGCCCGAGAGAGCCCUGGCUCGAAUGAGUGCCAGGGAAGAAGCUGGCCGUUUCCUCGCGAAUCUCGCGUACGAGCCGAGCCGUGUCGGCCACGCGACGUAGCAGUCGUUCCUGAGCCUGGACACCCCCUCGACCCUCUCGAGCAACAGCCGUCUCUCGCCGACCGUCGCCGAACCCGAAGGAGAGGCUGUAGAUCGGACCGCCGAGGAACCCUACUUGCGUCCCCUAACCACCGUGAUCCUGCAGUGUUCCAGUGUGUGUUCGAGGCUCGAGCGAGACCACGGUCGGCCCCGUACACACGACGUCCGGGACCAGCAUGCUACACCACCAUAGAGGAUAGCGUUUGCCACUCGACGAACCAUCGCAUGCUCGCACGUAUCAUCACGGGCAGUUCCGUUCCACAAUAAGAAAAAUGUCGGGACCGGGCAAAAGGACUUACCUCCGCGAGGUGAAUCCCUACCUCGUUUGCCUGUUGUGCCGGGGCUACCUCAUAGACGCGACCACCGUCGUCGAGUGUCUGCACUCGUUUUGCAGAAGCUGUAUUUUAAAGCAUCUGAGCACCGAGGCGCAGUGUCCCUCUUGCAAACAUGUUCUCAACAAGGCGAAGCCGAACAUCAAGGCGGACAAAGCGUUGCAAGAGAUCGUGUACAAAUUGGUCCCCGGGCUUUAUCACAAAGAGAUGCGCAAGAGAAGAGAGUUCUACAAGAAGCACCCGGAGCACGCGGACUUCGCGACACCGGAGCAACGCGGCGAAGACGUGAGCGGCCGACUGAUAUUCGCGCCGGAGGACGCGGUCAGUUUGAGCUUAGAGUACCUGCCACCCGGAGCGGAUCCGCUCACGAUCCUGCUCAGCACGAACGACGACGCGAACACCGUGAACGGACUGAACAACCAAACGAACAACAAUACCGGCAGCAAUAACGCCGGCAACCACAACACGAACACGACGAGCAACCGACGGUACCUUCAAUGUCCCGCGCUGGUGACUAUAGCACACUUGAAAAAAUUCCUAGCACUGAAAUACAGCGUCGACAUGACGAGAUACACGAUCGAGGUUUGCCAUCGGCGUGCCCCGCUUCCAGAGCACUGGACGCUCAUGGACGUCGCGUAUAUUUACGCUUGGAAGAGAAACGCACCCAUGCGAUUUUUCUACCGAGUCGCGUUGGAAGAGCAACGGCUGGAGGCGCCGCCGCACGACAGACCGUCCACCCCCGGUCUGGGGGCGAGUUUACCCGCGGACGCUGUCGUUCAGAACAGAAUCAACGCGGAAAAUGAGCAGAACGAGCCGGAACGCAAGGCCGAGAUCGAGCAGGCGAACAAUCAAGAAGAGAGGCGCCCGUUGGAAGCUGGAAACGAAGCUCCAAGCGAAAAGUCGAGGGUGUCCAACGAGCAGAGGGUCGCGGCAGAGCCGAAGAAAGUCGCGAUAGAGCCGAAGAAAGUCGCGAUAGAGCCGAAGAAAGUCGCGGUGGAGACGAAGAAGCCGGAGACGAAAACGGAACAGCCUCUGAGCAGCGCGACAGUGUCGACGACGGUGACAUCGACGACGAUUUCGUCUUCCACAACGAACACGACGACCACAACAGUGACUAACACGACACCGUCGAGCACGUCGACGAAUACCGAGGCCACGAAGCAGAUCAAAACGCCCAUCAAGAUACUAAAGAAUCCGGAUGGACGUUACGAGGUGCUGAGAAGCCCGUCGCUGAACUGGGGCACGAAAGAGCCGAGCACCGAGCCGAAGUCCUCGAGCCCCGAGUUCAGCGUGGUCAGCAUAGGCAGCGGGCAGAACUCGAACGGAGUGAAGAUCACGCUGAAGCAAUGCCCGCCGAGCAACGUGACCCCAAAGAAGCCGAAAGUGAUCAGCAACGUUUUGUUGAAUUGCGGCCAGUCGGAGAAGGAGAGCCCGAGUGCGUUGGUCAUACAGCAGAUCCAAAGAGACCGAGAGAAGCAACAGGCGGAGAAGCAGGAGAAGCAGCGGCGCAGGGUCACGUUCGUGGAACGACCGGCCCCGCCCGAGAAACCUGUGAGCAACGCGGUGAAGAUCUUGCCGAAGAAGCCGGCCGAGCAGCAGGACAAGAAACAGUUCCUUCAAGGGUUCCAACUGACCGCCAGAGAGACCGUAGCGGAAUCGCUCGUGGACUCGAAGCCGCCGGAGACGACUGUGAGCGGGUCGGUCGUCGAUGCUCAGAGCAAAGGUAACGCGACCAAAAAGGAGGACAAGAAGAUCGAUGCGGCGACGGAAGACAGAAUACAGAAUAAAAAUACCGUGGAGAACGCGGCCGGUGUUAAUGCGAGCGGAAGCGUGGCGAACGCGAGCAAACGGCCGGCAACGGUCGCCGGAAUUAGCGGCAAUGCGCGAGUGAACGCGAACAAACAGUGCAGUGACGUGGAUGCACGGCCGUUCGGUUACGCGAAGAGUUCGAGUGUGGCUACCGUGAACGCGAACGCCGGCAACGCUCCGGCAAAGGUCGACGUGUACACUUUUUCCAACGACCCGCCGGUGGUCCCAGCGGGGGCGGUUAAGAGAAAGUGUCCACCGGGAUUGCCCAUCUUCGACAUCAAGCGGAAGAAACAGCAACAGGUGCAGACCCCGAAGAAACAGUCUCCCGUUGCGACCGUGCCCUCUCCUCUGCCCAGCCCGAUGCCUAACAAUCUCAAAUCACCGAGGAAGAUAGCCACCGAGCACGUGGUUUCUGCGAAGAGACCCGCGAACGUCAUCGGCGAGCCUGGUCCCAGUCGAGCGCCAGCUCCGAGUCCCAAACCUCAGACCAACAACCCAAUGCUCUCGAGCGACACGAGAAACAUCUUGGACGGCUGCGGUUUGAACAUCCCUGCGAGCCUCAGUAUUACCCUAACCGCGCCAAAGUCCCCUGGCAGCAGCGGAGGAUUCGUCGAGCCGAGCGACUCCAAGGACAACCGGAAGAACGCGCUCGGAAAGGUGAGCCCUAGCAUCACUCUGAACGAUCGGUCCGUGGAUCCCCGAGUGCUGAAAGCACUGAAGGCGGGCCAAAUAAGGAUGCCGGCGCCAGCGAAACCGAGGCAGACCAAGCAGCCGGAUCGUGAGAUCAAUCAACAGCGGCAGACACCCUCUGGGAAGAGGAAGAGGGAGCAAGAAUCGAGGGAUAUUCUUGAUCUGAGCGGUGGAAAGAAGAUGGACAUGCAUCCGCUGAGAAUACCGAACCCUCAGCCGAAGAUGAAGGCGAAAUCGUCGGUCAGAGACAACAUGCCGAACCUGUCCGACCAAGGGCAAGUGGUGACAUUGAUGGGAGGGCACAGAUACUAUCGAGCGCCGCCAGGAUCUCUAACUCCCGCGGCUCACAGAGUGAGCGACUGUCCUUUGCCGACACCGACGCGCACCCCUGUCUACGCUCCAGGAUUGUCGAGCCCCAUGAGCGCCAACCGAUCGAGCACAAACCUCUCGUCCGUGUUCCCAAGCCUGCAGAGCCUGUACGCCCUCAGCCAAGCCCCCAACCUCCAGCAGUUCCAGAUGGACGCGAGGUUGAGGCUGCCGCGGCCAACCGAGGCGAAUUCCUCGGGCAUUAACACCGACAACCGAAGCGCGAACAACAGCCUGCCAGGGAAGAGUCACUUAGCUGCUCAGUGCGCGCCGGUGAAACCCGCUCGAUCCUCCAUCGCACCACUGGCAGUGCCCAUUAGCAAACAACAGCAGUCCGGCGAAAGGUCUGCCAGCACCGUUUGUCUGAACCGUACUCUCGCCAACGAGGUAAGCAAGAAUGUCGCGUUUCGAAGCAACGAACCAUUGGAUUCCGUAGACAGUGGCCAGCAGCAAUUGUCCGUCCAAACGAAGUACCCUGCGACCACGGAAACCAGUAACAACCGGUACUCGCCUCGAAGCACCACGAGCAACAGUGGCAGCAACGAGGACAAGGCGUCCGUUGAAACGAUUCGCGACGCGAACACGGAAUCGAACAACGAUUCCAAGAAAGACGACACUGCCUCGAGGCAAACCCCUAAUCGCGAGGCUGCCAGCCCCAGGGUUUCUUCAACGGCUUCCCCGUCGCCUCCGCCAGGCGAUUCUAGCACCAGCAACAACAACGAGAACGCCGCUGGUCGCGGCGACAGCGUGACAACCGGGUCGAACGGGAUCGACAACGACGUGCCCGCUCCCAGCCCGAAGAAGAGCACCACCCCCGCAGUGGAGGUGUCCAGUAGCAAGUCUCCGGCCAGCCCUGACUCCAGCUCGGUGACGAUCGAGAGCAGCCUAUCCAGCAAAGGUUGCUCAACGGUGGAACAAGGCUUCCCGUCUCCAUCGGAGGUAACUAAGUCUUCCUCCGAGCGAUCUUCGAAACCCGAGAACCCAGUCGUCGACGCGACCACGGAUACCGAGAAGAAAUCCGCGUUCAAACAAUCGGACGCGAAGCAACUUACUUCGGAAAUGUUCCAGAAGAGACUGCUGGCCGCGUUCCCUUCGAACGAGUGGGCGAACAACCCCAUAGCCGCCCAACACCUGGGCAACUUUCUGAAGAGCUUGAACGCCUCUAUCAAGUCGGAUAACAAGAUGGAGGGGAUCGCAGCGGAGAAGAUCGAGGCUCAGCUAGCGUGCAACGACGGUGCGACUGUUCGUUUGAACAACGAAGCUACGUCGAAGACCAGGCCGGACGUUACCGAACGGUCUUAACCACGUGGAACGCUCUGUGCACGAGCGGAAUGAUUGUUCGUUGAAGGAGAUAGCUAUCGCACUGCCAGACCAGGCAUGUCCACGGGAGGCGCGGUAGGGGCCAAUCGAGCGCUGACUUCUCGUUCCCAAAAAAACACGUUUGUGGAAGCGGACGAACCAUGCCAUAAAAUGUUUCUUCGACGACGGGACGCGACGGCGAGAGGAAUAACGGUUGUCUCCUGUGGACGUCUCUGUUCUGCGUUCUGCGAAUAGAGACGAUGGAACCUGAGAGACUCUCUCAGGUGUUCGCGGGACGCUUUGUACAAAACACGGUGUACCGCGUCGUACAAUACAGGGAAAAGAUACAGCUCGGACGCUGGAAAUUUUAUUUUUUCAAAUUUUUUAAGGACACACUCGAAGACACGUACACGUACACGCAUACACACGCAACCCUCCCCCCCGUGGAAUUUGAAUCUGCGCGCAGUUGCUUCGUCGAGUUCGCUACGUUGAGAGGGUUCCAUGGGAACUUCCGAUUUCGCGUAAACGAUAUCGACUUGUGCGAGUCUGUAGUGUUUCACGUGGGAAUCGUUCCUAUCUCGGUCCAAUGGAACUAUGCGAAAGCGGAGUGUUCGACCAAGUACCUCGCAUUGAAUUUACAGACGGCGGAAAGCUCGCGGGUCGUUCAAGGGUAGCCAUCCGCUCCAACCGAAUUGCCUUCAGAUGGUGUCCUGAACAACCCGCAAAUAGUGGAAUCGUUUGAUCUUUUUUUUCAUUUCUUAUUGUCGCUCAAUAUAAUUGGUCGCAAAUCUUUGUAAAGCUUUACAUAUUUCUCAGAUGUAUUUACAAGGGCAUGAACCCUUUCGCUACCCCUAUGUUAACCGGAUCAUGGCCCAAGAUUGUUGAGAGAGAGAAAGUCUGGGAGCCCAGUGCAGCGACACCCAAUGGCCAAAAACUGACAGUAAAGUCGAAAUUUAUGUUGUUCUUUAUUUACCGAUUAAAAUCUAUUCCAGGAAAGCUGCUUUAGUCAUUGCAAAAUCUUUCCUAUUCGUACUUAUGCAUUCUAUAAGCAAGGAGAUACACAGGGACCGAAAAUUGACGGAGAUGGAAUAUCCGAAGAGAAGUGAUUAGUAUACAAUUAAUUGUAUAACGUAUGGAUUUAUGCUAUUGUUAGUUUCUUCAUUUAUCUUUUCUGCGUUACGUUUCGCUAUGAGUUACUACUAUGUAUACGUUGUACGAUAAUUGUUAUGUUAUGCAAGUGUAUUAUAUUAUAUGUAUUAUUUCUUGAUCUGUAUAUAUUUAUGAUUAUACUUAGUCAGCCGUUCUUUGCGAGAAUGCGCGCAAAAUCCUAUUACUCUGUAAGCCCAACAACCGUUUCUAUUCAAGUCGAAUUUGAAAAAUCAUGAAAACGAUCGUGAUCAAAAAGUUUUUAUAACACAAAUCGCAACGAAUGUCUCGUUGCGAUGCACGUUGGACAUUCAUUUCGAAUAAUAGACAGAACGGACAUGUAACGACUAAAGGAAUAUAUUAUUAUAUACCUAAAAAUAAAA